GAUGAACGCUGGCGGCGUGCCUAAUACAUGCAAGUCGAGCGAACAGACGAGGAGCUUGCUCCUCUGACGUUAGCGGCGGACGGGUGAGUAACACGUGGAUAACCUACCUAUAAGACUGGGAUAACUUCGGGAAACCGGAGCUAAUACCGGAUAAUAUAUUGAACCGCAUGGUUCAAUAGUGAAAGACGGUUUUGCUGUCACUUAUAGAUGGAUCCGCGCCGCAUUAGCUAGUUGGCAAGGUAACGGCUUACCAAGGCAACGAUGCGUAGCCGACCUGAGAGGGUGAUCGGCCACACUGGAACUGAGACACGGUCCAGACUCCUACGGGAGGCAGCAGUAGGGAAUCUUCCGCAAUGGGCGAAAGCCUGACGGAGCAACGCCGCGUGAGUGAUGAAGGUCUUCGGAUCGUAAAACUCUGUUAUUAGGGAAGAACAAAUGUGUAAGUAACUAUGCACGUCUUGACGGUACCUAAUCAGAAGGCCACGGCUAACUACGUG
rnacentral:rRNA from 1 species